rnacentral:rRNA from 1 species
CAAUAGCGUAUAUUAAUGUUGUUGCAGUUAAAAAGCUCGUAGUUGGAUUUCUGGUGGGAGCGGUUGGUCUGCCCCGCGAGGGGUAGUUACUGAGCCGUAUCCGGCCCUUUUCGGGUUGACCGUGGCUGGCAUUAAUUUGUCGGUGCGGGAGGCCCGUCGUUUACUGUGAACAAAUUAGAGUGUUCAAAGCAGGGUGUUCUUGAAUACAUUAGCAUGGAAUAAUGAGAUAGGACUUUGGUGGUUCUCACUUUUUGUGGGAUAUUUUGUUGGUUUGCACGCCAAAGUAAUGAUUAAUAGGAGCAGUUGGGGGUAUUCGUAUUCAAUUGUCAGAGGUGAAAUUCUUGGAUUUCUAGAAGACGAACUACUGCGAAAGCAUUUACCAAGGAUGUUUNCAUUAA